UCUCGAGCGACCCUCCGCUCAGCUGUGCCCUAGCAGCACGUCAAAACUGGAGUCAUCUACCUAAAUCCUCCAGUAUUGCCUUGCUGCUUGAGUGAAGUAGGAGCCUAAUUCAUUUCUCUAC
rnacentral:precursor_RNA from 12 species